CCCAGAAUAAAAUCUGAGGUGUAGCCUGCCCAGUGAGUAAAAGAAAGCAUAAAACUUUAAAAUAAUUAAACGGACGCAGUAUACUAACUGUGAUAAUGUAGCAUAAUCAAUAGCCAUUUAAUUGGUGGAUCGUAUGAAAGGCUAAACGCACCCCCCACUUUCUUAAAAAAAGAAGAUAUUAAAUUUAAAUAGUAGUAAAGAUGCUACUUAAGGCUGUAAGACGAAAAGACCCUAUAGAGCUUAACUAUAAAUUCUUAUUCUGAGAAUUUGGUAGUUUAGUUGGGGCGACUGCCUUCUAAAACUAACGAAGGCAAACAAAGUUAAUUAAUAACUUAUUGUAAAACUUAUAAGUUUAACAAUUACCAAAGUAGGUAAUAAAGACCCGUUAUUAAAAACAAUAAAAAUAACGAUCAAUAAAUAAAAGCUACCUUAGGGAUAACAGAAUAAUUUUGUUAUAGAGAUCGUAUCGAAAACAAAGUUUGUCACCUCUAUGUUGAAUUAAGGUAACCUGGUGAGGUAGUACUUACCAAAGGUAGGUCUGUUCGACCUUUAAAAC
rnacentral:rRNA from 1 species